CCAGCACCUGCGGUAAUUCCAGCUCCAAUAGCGUAUAUUAAAGUUGUUGCAGUUAAAACGCUCGUAGUCUGAUGUAAUAUGGACUGGUGUGGGGAGCAGCAAUGCUCUUUGCUUUGGUCCUCAUCAACGGGACAGCAAUGUCCCAUUUUACUUUGAGGAAAUUAGAGUGUUCAAAGCAGGCGAUUGCUUGAAUACUGCAGCAUGGAAUAAUGGAAUAGGACUCGCGUCUUAUUUUAUUGGUUUGGAGAUGUGAGUAAUGAUGAAUAGGGACAGUUGGGGGCAUUGGUAUUCAGUAGUCAGAGGUGAAAUUCUUGGAUUUACUGAAGACUAACUAGUGCGAAAGCAUUUGCCAAGGAUGUUUUCAUUGAUCAAGAACGAAAGU
rnacentral:rRNA from 1 species